UACAGCGGUCCCAAGCGUUGUUCGGAUUCAUUGGGCGUAAAGGGUGCGUAGGUGGCGCUGUAAGUCGGGUGUGAAAUUUCGGAGCUUAACUCCGAAACUGCAUUCGAUACUGCGGUGCUUGAGGACUGGAGAGGAGACUGGAAUUCAUGGUGUAGCAGUGAAAUGCGUAGAGAUCAUGAGGAAGACCAGUGGCGAAGGCGGGUCUCUGGACAGUUCCUGACACUGAGGCACGAAGGCCAGGGGAGCAAACGGG
rnacentral:rRNA from 1 species